rnacentral:sRNA from 1 species
AAGCUUGGCCUUCGUAAAACGUAGAUUUUACUGUCGCAAAUUGAGUUUACCUUGCGACAGUAAAAUCAAGUUUUACGAAGGCCAAGCUUAAAAUACAA